CCUACGGGCGGCAGCAGUGAGGAAUAUUGGUCAAUGGACGCAAGUCUGAACCAGCCAUGCCGCGUGCAGGAAGACGGAUCUAUGAGUUGUAAACUGCUUUUGUACGAGGGUAAACGCAGAUACGCGUCUCUGUCUGAAAGUAUCGUACGAAUAAGGAUCGGCUAACUCCGUGCACGCAGCCGCGGUAAUACAGAGGAGUCAAGCGUUAUCCGGAUUUAGUGGGUUUAAAGGGUGCGUAGGCGGUCGGAUAAGUUAGAGGUGAAAUACCGAGGCGAAACUUCGGAAUUGCCUCUGAUACUGUUCGGCUAGAGAGUAGUUGCGGUAGGCGGAAUGUAUGGUGUAGCGGUGAAAUGCUUAGAGAUCAUACAGAACACCGAUUGCGAAGGCAGCUUACCAAGCUACUUCUGACGUUGAGGCACGAAAGCGUGGGGAGCAAACAGGAUUAGAUACCCGGGUAGUC
rnacentral:rRNA from 1 species